GAUGAACGCUGGCGGCGUGCCUAAUACAUGCAAGUCGAGCGAACGGACGAGAAGCUUGCUUUUCUGAUGUUAGCGGCGGACGGGUGAGUAACACGUGGAUAACCUACCUAUAAGACUGGGAUAACUUCGGGAAACCGGAGCUAAUACCGGAUAAUAUUUUGAACCGCAUGGUUCAAAAGUGAAAGACGGUCUUGCUGUCACUUAUAGAUGGAUCCGCGCUGCAUUAGCUAGUUGGUAAGGUAACGGCUUACCAAGGCAACGAUGCAUAGCCGACCUGAGAGGGGGAUCGGCCACACUGGAACUGAGACACGGUCCAGACUCCUACGGGAGGCAGCAGUAGGGAAUCUUCCGCAAUGGGCGAAAGCCUGACGGAGCAACGCCGCGUGAGUGAUGAAGGUCUUCGGAUCGUAAAACUCUGUUAUUAGGGAAGAACAUAUGUGUAAGUAACGGUGCACAUCUUGACGGUACCUAAGCAGAAAGCCACGGCUAACUACGU
rnacentral:rRNA from 1 species